rnacentral:rRNA from 1 species
GACGAACGCUGGCGGCGUGCUUAACACAUGCAAGUCGAACGGAAAGGCCCUGCUUUUGUGGGGUGCUCGAGUGGCGAACGGGUGAGUAACACGUGAGUAACCUGCCCUUGACUUUGGGAUAACUUCAGGAAACUGGGGCUAAUACCGGAUAGGAGCUCCUGCUGCAUGGUGGGGGUUGGAAAGUUUCGGCGGUUGGGGAUGGACUCGCGGCUUAUCAGCUUGUUGGUGGGGUAGUGGCUUACCAAGGCUUUGACGGGUAGCCGGCCUGAGAGGGUGACCGGACACAUUGGGACUGAGAUACGGCACAGACUACUACGGGAGGCAGCAGUGGGGAAUAUUGCACAAUGGGCGGAAGCCUGAUGCAGCAACGCCGCGUGCGGGAUGACGGCCUUCGGGUUGUAAACCGCUUUCGCCUGUGACGAAGCGUGAGUGACGGUAAUGGGUAAAGAAGCACCGGCUAACUACGUG